UGAAGCAAGUGAACUGACCCGCACAAUGUUUUUGUCGCACAUUGCUACACACUUUAGUAGUGGCACAGACUCUGUCACAUGCCCUUUCACAGGUUGUGUCAGUGUGCUGACGACAGCUCAGUCAUUCAGAACGCAUGUGUCAAGAUACCACAGUGGCACUACAGAUGCUCUACAGCACUUGCAAGGGCCAGAUGCUGACAUUGAAAUGGAAGCAGGAACUGCUGAAACUGAAGAAUCUAGUCUGUCCAUGAGCGUAGUGCGAAGCCAUGAUGUAGAGCCUAGUAGCAGCAGCCAUUUCGAUGAGAACCUUUUUACUGAUAAUUUUGCACUGUUUCUUCUGAAACUUGAGAGCCAGCAUCACGUACCUGCUAGUACUGUGCAAAACAUUAUCAAAGAGAUGCAGAAUCUUCAUAGCCUGAAUCGUACUUUGACUUUACAAGAGGUUUCAAAAGCUGUCUCAAAUGAUACCCUUGCUGCUGUAAAUUCGGCACUUUCUAUAGACCCUUUUGGAACUGCAUCUCUCGUCCUCAACUCAUCCUAUUCUAGGCACAAAUAUUAUAAAGCAAACUUCUGUUUCGUGCCACCUGUAGAGAUCACCCUGGGUAUGAACAAGCAGAAUGUAGCAUCAGUUUGCUGUUAUGUUCCAAUUGAAGACCUGAUAUGUUUCUUGCUCUGUCAUGCACCUACUGGUCAACCCAGUGCGUCAGAUGGGUGCUACCAUGAUUAUAUUUUCUGCCAGCCUUUCAAACAGUCCGAUGAAAAUGUCAUACGCAUAAUCCUGUAUCAGGACGAGUUUGAAAUUGUGAACCCACUGGGCUCAUCAAAGGGCCAUUUCAAGUUGCUUGCGGUGUAUAUGACCCUUGGGAAUUUGCCACUGUACUGCAGGUCGCGUGUAGAGAGCAUGCAGCUAGUGAUGCUUUGUCGCCAGAAAGACGUAAGAGAAUUUGGGCUCCAGAAGGUUUUACAGCCAUUAACCGAAAGUUUAGUGAUGCUGGAACAGAAAGGACUGCCAAUUAAUGGAGUGAACCACCAUGUACGGUUGGACUUCGUAGUGGGUGAUAACCUUGGAAGUCAUAUGAUUGGUGGCUUCACCCAGAACUUCAGCACAUCCGCAUUCAUUUGCCGUUUCUGCCUUUUGACUCGUUUAGAAUUUCAUGAGAAACCACAUCUAGUUGGGGAAAGGCGGACCCCAGAAAAGUAUAUGCAGUCACUUGAACGGCUUGAAAGCAGUAAUGAACAGAGUGACUGUGGCAUUGUAAAUAACUCCCCGUUUCAUGUACUGAGGCACUUUCAUGUGUGCCGGUCAGGAUUGCCUCCAUGUAUUGGACAUGACCUUUUUGAAGGUGUAGUUCGACAUGACUUGCCGUUAUACAUUCGGUAUUUUGUCACCAAGAAAAGGUGGUUUACUUAUGAAUAUCUGAACAACAGGAUUUCUACUUUGAAAUACAGCACUCAUGACCUGCGAAACAAGCCAGCCAAGGUGCCCAGCCAAAGUGACAAGCUUGGGGGCCAUGCAAUUCAAAAUUGGACGCUGUUAAGAUUGCUUCCUUUGUAUAUAGGCACAAAAGUGGCCGAUACAAAUGACCCAACUUGGGAGCUCGUGGUCAAACUCAUGGAGGUAACCGAUCUCAUUAUGGCACCAAAAAUAACUGCAGCUCAAGUUGCAUAUCUGAAAAUUUUGACCGAAGACUACAUAGUGUCUCGAAGUAUCCUGUUUCCCAGUGCCAAACUACGGCCAAAGCAUCACUACAUGCUACAUUACAGUGAACUUAUUCAGGAGUUUGGCCCACUCUGCCACGUGUGGACUAUGAGAUUUGAAGGCAAACAUCAAUAUUUUAAACAGUGCAUACGCAGUUCACGAAACUUCAAGAAUGUCACAAAGACAUUGAGCGAACGACACCAGCUUUAUCAAUCAUUCCUGGCUGCCCGAGGUUUAUUCCGCACUUCUCCAGUGUUCACAGACAUGAGCCAGGAUGAGCAAACAAGGAUUCAGAGUGAGGUUGUGCAUUGUCAGAUUCGUGAGCAUAGUGUCCUGCUAAAGAAAGCCACUGUGGAUGGUUGCAUGUAUGCAGUCGAUGACUAUGUUCUUGUGUCGGGAACAAGGUUUGAUCCUGUGUUUGGUUUAAUAAUUGCCAUUGUGAAAAACAUCUCUGCAGAAAUAUUUCUGUUAGUUAAGUGUGUUCGUUCAGCAUGCUUGCCAGGUCUCUCGUUGUAUGUGUUGCAAAGUUCAGCUUGCACAACAGAACUCCUAUGCCCUUUUGAGCUGCUAGACAGGACAGCUUACCAGCCCUACGCUUUCAAUGGUGCCACUGUUAUUAGACUGAACUUUUCAUUUCCUGAAACGCUGUGAGCACUAUCAGGCUGGUUUUGCAUGCUCAAUUGUGUAUCGAAAUUCUGUUGUUAUACCUCACUGUGAAGUUUGUUAUAAAAGUUGAAUGAAAAAGCAUGCCUUGCAAUAGCAAAAAAAAGUUUGCCUUGUUGAUAGGGCUUCAUAUAGUAUUUUAGUCCUACAUUGUUUUACUGCAGACACUCGAUAUACAGCAAAGCCACUCAGUAUGGUACAUUAUACAGUAGAACCGUGUUACAGUGCAGUUGUUGAUACAGGGAAGACCUUCACUAUAUUGGUAUCUUCACUACAGCUUUAGUUCACCAUUUUGCUUUUCUGUGACUACGAUUAAGCUUUGCCAUGCACAGUGGGUUCUAAAGGAGUGCAAGUUUGCUACUUGUUGAAAUGUAGUGCCUAUAUUUACAGAAAAGUUCUUACUGUAGAAAGAAUGGUGAAUGCUAAUUCCAAGCAAUCCUGUUAAUGCACAAAUCGUUAUUCAAGGUGACCAGACAAUGGCAAAAAUCGCUUGCAAAAGGAAAGCUUUCUCGGCCCCAUAUUUGCAGGCUAUCAUUGCAUGUAUGGAUUCUGCCACCAUUUCUGUAAUAGGAAAGCAUAGUUACCACUCUGAUGGGACUUCAAAGUUCAAAGCAGCCAGUGUGUGCAUUCAGGCAUAAAUUGUAAAUUGAAAUGGUUCGCUGAAAUAACCAUGGUGAGUGCAAGUAUUGUUUACUCCCAUAAUUUUCUGAAAACUGUACUUUUGUUUAUGGCACAACUACCCACGGUUUCAUAUAUCAGUUUAUUCGUUAUGACCAUCUUAACUAUAUCAAUUAAAAAAAUUAAUGGACACCUGUCUGAGUGUAAUCACAAGCAGUUGUAGCAGCACCAGCAAUGCCACCACCUUCUCGCCUUGCAACGUUUCUAUAUAAAUUAGUUUGUAUAUGUGUGCUUACUCGUGCUUAAGCAACGCAGUAUUUCUCUUCAACACAGAUGUUCCCUAUAUGCGGCUUUGCUCUAUCAAGAUUCUGCUGUAUCAUACUAGAAAGACGGCUACUGUUGUCGAUGUUCCAAUAUUUGUAUCAGUUUAUAGUUGUACUGUCAGAGUAAAAUAUAAAUUGUAGCCUGCAAACUCUGAUAUAGUGCUGUCUUGAAGCAAAGCGUGCUUUGUGGUAUGCUUGUUAUUAUGUAAAAAACUCUUUUCAAUUGUUAUGUUAAGCCAAGUUGCAUUUCUUGUGUGAAUUGCCGUGUGAAACUUGCUUGCCCAAGUAGGCAAUAUUGAUAUCAACUGCUCUGUAUGUGAUGUUAGAUGUACUGGACAGUCUGUACUCUUUUCCAUGCCCCUGGGCUUGGAGCAUGUAGUUGCAUUGUUUGCUUUGCAACACAUUUGCAUUUGUCUGUUACCUGGUGUUUUGUGAUUUAUACUGUUAGAUGGAACUUACAAGUUCUGAAAGUUCCAGUUAUUUGGUGUGGCAGCUCGCAUAAGUGUCAUCACUGACCAGUGCAGUGAAUACUGUAGGUUCUUCGCUAUACAAAAGUGUUUCUUGAUGCUUCUCAACAAGCUUCUCGCCACUGCACUGCAGGAAACAGUCCACUAUGCCACUUAUUAAAAUUUGGAGUGGCGAUCAAGUGGUGAAAAAGGUGGCUCAUGCUACCACUUUAGCAGAGGUGCUUGUUCAGGCAAACGAAAAAGGAGUCUGCAGUUCUCCAAAUGCAAAGGUUUUCUUGAGAGACUGGACUCAGUUAGAUGAAGACAUCUUCAAGGACGUAUUGGAAGAACUUCCACUUGAAGAGAGAGUAUUCAUUGUGGCGGAAGUAAUUCCACCAAUUCCAGUUGACCAGGCUGUUCCAGGCAGCUCCGGGCUAGAUGAUCUAGUGGAAACCUUCCACAGUGCAAACACUCAAUUUAAGCUUGAAAUUGAUAGAUUGCCAGUAAGUGUGCAAACUGCCCUUGAAGCUAACGGACCUCUUCCUCCAAGAGAGAGGAGGGAAUUGGUGAGGUCCACUGUUGACCAGCUAACAAAAUUCUGUUCGAGGCCAAGGCGGGAACUCAUCAAGUCUGUAGCUUCAGCCAUAGUGCUGAAAUUUCCCAGCGCACUGCAAGACAAGGCAAUAGGUGGCCACCUCCUCGGUAGAGGUUACGACUCUCUUUUCCAACAACUGGAAAACAGAGUCGAGAACAUCUACCGAGGAAAGCAGCCAGCCUCGCCUUCUAACGAGAGAAAACACCAAAGAAGCAAAAAGUGGUCCUAUGGAUGCAUUGAUUGGCAACCGCGAAGAAAUUUGGAGCAUCCACAGGACAUUGAAGAAAAAAUUAAUUUCUUGAAGCAGGAGGGUAGGAAGAGCUUGAAAGAUGUCAAUGUGCCUGUGGCACUUUUAUAUAUGGGGGAAACAUAUCCGGAACAGAGAAACUUUGUAAACAGUGAUCCAUUCCCAACCACAACCCAAGUGAAGGAAGAGUGGCCUCUUCUAUUCAAAAGGCCAUUUUUCUACCAACAUUCUGACAAGCUCCUUGGAAAGGAUGUAAAGGCAAGCACUGACAUUUUAUUGUGAUCAGGAAUGAAUGUUGUAGUUUAAAGGGUAAGCUAAGUAGUUGAUAAAUCAAGGCUGCACUACACGCAUGCAUAUUGAACACAUUUGAUGGCUUAACCAUUUACCGUAUGUUGUAUUAUAAAGGGUGCCCCAACUAUCGUGCAGUAAGGUUUAAAAAUAUGCAAAUACUACGUAGCUGGACAGAACCAAGGUUGUUUGCUAUCGCUUGGCGAUACUCAAGAUUAUUUUGUUGCAUUCUGCCUAAUUACAUAAUUAGUCUUAAUUAAUCAACUUCUCAGAUAUUAUAGUUAGGCAAAACGUGUCAAUGAGAAUUGUAGAGCAACAUGGAAAAACUGAUACAGCAUUUUGUUGCUCAAUACGUGCUACGUAAGUGUUUUUCCGAGCGUGAAAGAAGCCAACAAAUACACGCAAAGUACCUUGAGCGUCCAGUCUCGCGUGGCAAUUGAUGUUGCUCCACAAUAUUCUCGUUAGCACUUUUCAUUGAAUUAUAAUAUUCGAGAAGUUUAAGACUAUUAGGCAGAAUGCAACAAAAUCUUGAGUAUCUCCAAGCGAUGGCAAACAACGUUACCUUGGUUCUGUCCAGCUACGUGGUAUUUGCAUAUUUUUAAAUGGUACUGCAUGUAGGUUGGGACACCCUGUAUAUGGUAAUCAUUGAACUUUUUCAUAGUUUAUAGCAUAAAAAAUAUCAUGGCAUAUUUACUUGUAAUCUGUCAUGUCUAGCAAAAAAAAACAAAUUGUAACAUUGGAAAUAAUUUUAAGUUAAUUCUUCUUUCAAUGUAUGACAUAAGUUGAAUGUGUAACAUGAAAAAAAGCUAGUAAACAGUUUAUUUUGAGAAAUUUUUGCACUUUGAAUGACUGCACGAAAAUUUGUGAGCGGGUUUGCUUUUUUGUUAACCUGAAAAUGAUACAGCAUGAAAUAUGGGUUUUCUGUGGGGAGCUUAUUUUUACUUGCUAGAAGAACUUAGCACGAAGUGUUUUUACAAGCCAUAAAGUCUCUUAGCGCUAUCACUGUCAUGAAUAUGUUGCACGAUAAAAGCACUGGCGGUACAAUAAACAUGCCAUGUUGCAAGAUCAAAUGACAGCAGCAGAAAUAAACCUUUUGGAAAAAGGCGGAAGCCAUUCUUAGGUUGCAUAAGUAUCCUAAAGACUUCACAAAGGACAAAUUAACAUAAAAGUAUAGUGUUGCUUACGUUCAAUCAAGGAAAUCAUCAAAUUAUAAAAAAUGUUCUGUGAUGUGCUUUUCUAGCUUUUUUUUCAACUUUUUUUUCUCCAGGUUUUGAGCUAUUAAAUUGGUUUUUGUAUCAUGACAAAACAUUGCCGUACCUGCAUGGAAUAUUAUACAUGAUGGGCAAUGACAUUUGCUCAUAAAAUUGCAACUGUGUAUUUUAUCAAAUUGUGAUUUGUUCUUUUUAAAUAACAAUUCCUUUUGCUGAAUAACCCCAUUUUUUUCUGAUGCAGACGUGUGCAAACUUUUUUCCAAAUGUAAACAUUGGUUAGGCAUUUCCUUCUCGAAAAACAGAUUACGUAUGAGACACAAGGAAUCGUACAUUUUUAACUGUCAUAUUUUGCUUGCAGCACACAUGCAUAUGUGGGGGUCGUGUAUCUUAGUGAGUGUUUUAUUUUUGUUUCAGGCUGUGUUUGAGGAAAACAUGGCAGCAUGUGCACCGCUGCUGCAUAAGCACUUGGCACCUGUGCUGAAGAAGGACACCAUGUACUUGAUUUUUCAAGUUGAAGAACAACAAAAAAG